AGAGUAGAAGUUUUAUAAUAUUUGACCUGCAAUCAGAAGAAGAUGAUAUUCAUCCUACUUUA
rnacentral:tRNA from 1 species